GAAAUGCUGAAUACAACAGGUGUAGUAGACCUCACAGUGAAAUGAUGAAUACAACAGGUGUAGUAGACCUCACAGUGAAAUGCUGAAUACAACAGGUGUAGUAGACCUCACAGUGAAAUGAUGAAUACAACAGGUGUAGUAGACCUCACAGUGAAAUGCUGAAUACAACAGGUGUAGUAGACCUCACAGUGAAAUGCUGAAUACAACAGGUGUAGUAGACCUUACAGUGAAAUGCUGAAUACAACAGGUGUAGUAGACCUCACAGUGAAAUGCUGAAUACAACAGGUGUAGUAGACCUCACAGUGAAAUGCUGAAUACAACAGGUGUAGUAGACCUUACAGUGAAAUGCUGAAUACAACAGGUGUAGUAGACCUUACAGUGAAAUGCUGAAUACAACAGGUGUAGUAGACCUUACAGUGAAAUGCUGAAUACAACAGGUGUAGUUGACCUUACAGUGAAAUGCUGAAUACAACAGGUGUAGUAGACCUUACAGUGAAAUGCUGAAUACAACAGGUGUAGUAGACCUUACAGUGAAAUGCUGAAUACAACAGGUGUAGUAGACCUUACAGUGAAAUGCUGAAUACAACAGGUGUAGUAGACCUUACAGUGAAAUGCUGAAUACAACAGGUGUAGUAGACCUUACAGUGAAAUGCUGAAUACAACAGGUGUAGUAGACCUUACAGUGAAAUGCUGAAUACAACAGGUGUAGUAGACCUUACAGUGAAAUGCUGAAUACAACAGGUGUAGUAGACCUUACAGUGAAAUGCUGAAUACAACAGGUGUAGUAGACCUCACAGUGAAAUGCUGAAUACAACAGGUGUAGUAGACCUCACAGUGAAAUGAUGAAUACAACAGGUGUAGUAGACCUCACAGUGAAAUGCUGAAUACAACAGGUGUAGUAGACCUCACAGUGAAAUGAUGAAUACAACAGGUGUAGUAGACCUCACAGUGAAAUGCUGAAUACAACAGGUGUAGUAGACCUCACAGUGAAAUGCUGAAUACAACAGGUGUAGUAGACCUCACAGUGAAAUGCUGAAUACAACAGGUGUAGUGGACCUUACAGUGAAAU